GCCAACACUACUAGCCAGAGCCCUCCACUCCAAUCAUUUAUAGAAAAAUGACAGUCUUUUUAACAAUUAAUUCUUAGUUCUCAUGAUACUUUCAGGAUUAUCUAAGUCAGUUGAGUGUACAGUUAUAUCUUUAGUCAUGAAAAUGUUUGAAUACAAAUUUAAUGAGUUUAUGUGAAAUGCUAAAUUUUUAUUAUUACAGCUUCUCUGCUAUAGAAGACUGAUUAUACAACAUUUUGGUUAUAUACAUACAUUUAAUUAGUACAUGACCUGUAAGGUUAGGCUUCACCCGAAAUACAUCCAGAACUAGGUGAAAAACAUACCAGAAAUUUUCAAAUGCUGGUAAGAUCAAUUUUUAUAGAACAUAUUGAUAGAAUACAAGAGUAAGUUAUUGUCAUUAAUAUUCAUUCUCUAACUCAGUAUAUAAUUACCAAGUACCUGCUCUUUGCUAUGCUCUAUUCUAGGCACCAGAGAUAAAGCUCUAAACAAAAAUAUUCCUCUCCAUAAGCCUUACACUCCAGUGGAGAAGAGGAGAAACAAAAUAAACAAAAUAUGUGCUAUAUAUUGAAAAUCUAUAUCAUAAGUGCCAUGGAGAGAAUGCAGGAAAGAACAGGAGUGCUGGUGUGAGAUUCAAGCUUAAACUCAGUUCUCAGGGAGGGCCUGCAAAGUGACAAACUUGAAGCAUGAUGUUGAGGAUAGAACCUUCCAUGAUGAUGAUUUAGAAUUCCAGAUUCUGGCAUAUGCAGAGAUGCAUAUUCAUACUCCAUGUGUAAAGGUUGAAUGGUGUAUCUCAGACUAGAAAACCUUUCUAAUGUCAGUUCCAGGGGUGAUCAAAAAGCCAGGUCAAUUUAGGACUUGAUGAAUGAGGGCCAAACUGAUAUAAGGCAAUGGAAUGACUGAAGCCCCGAGUCCAGAACCAGAAUGAAUGGACCAGAGCAAUAUUCAGGUAGUCUGGAUAACUUUGCAGACCACAGUUGCUUCACUUUUUCCCCCACUAUGUAACUUUGGUCUAAGUUCUUA
rnacentral:lncRNA from 1 species